rnacentral:sRNA from 1 species
GAACCUGUAGGCCAGCCCCAAUUACAUGCUGUUCUUGUUUCUAUUGUGACCAAAAGCAUCUUGUAAAGGAAGAGGUUCAUUUCAGCUUGUGAUCUUCAGGUCCCACCCAUCACUGAGGAAGUCAGGGGAAGGAACCUCAAGGUGAGAGCUGAAGCAGAGGCCGAAGACUAUGGAGGAUGUUCUUAGUGGCUUGCCUGGCCUUCGUUAUAUAAUUCAAGACUAUCUGAAUAGGGCUGACACUGCCCACUGUGGACUGGGCUCUUCCAUUCCGCAUCAAUUAUUAAAGAAAAUGCCCUCACAGGAGUGUCCACAGUGCAGCCUUACAGGACAUUUUCUCUUAAGAUUCCCUCUUCCCAGAUACAUCUGUGUCACACUGACAAAAACCAUCUGGCACACUGAUGGACCGCAGAAGGGAACUCAGGAAAGUGAAGAGGAACUUACAAGAGGAACUCACAGAACUGCCACCUUCAGUGGGACAUAAAUAUGUUCUCAGGGUAGUCUGGUUUUUGCUUACAGACAAACAGGAAGGCCACUGUGACAGGAGUAAUUAAGAUAUCACUGGGGAACAUCGUGUUUAUGGAGUAAACAUGGAGGCAUCUCCAGUGACAAAGCCAUUUUCUUGGGUAAAUUGUUAAUUAUGAAACUGCCAUGCCCAGUCAUCUGGAAAAGCAGACAGCAUUUAACAUUAAGAUGAACUGACCUGGCCAAAGGUACUGUAGUUUUAAUGGGUAGAACAGAUACAGUAAGUCUGUCCUCAAGAGGACUGUUUCCUAUUUCCCCAAAUGCUGAUCUGAAUUACACAGAAAUGCACAGGGCCCAAUGCAUUGUGUUAACACACUUUUCCUUUUGGCCCCUAAAAGACUGCUCUAAAGCCCAUGCACUUGACUUCAGGGCCUCAGUUUAGGUCUGCAUCUUACAACUGAAAGGUCCCUUUGAUGCCUGGAGCCACAUAGCUGUUGGAGACUAAGCUAACGCCUUGAAGCGAAGUUGCCUUAGAUCCUGACAGCUUUUCUCAGACACUGGUUCAAACCCACCCCCCGAGACUCAUGCUUUUAGUUGAUGGGCUCAUGCUGUACUCAAGACUCCUUCAAGCACUGGAGCUACUUUGAUUCCACUUUUCUACAGGACGCAGGGCACUUGCUGAGUGUGUGCAGUUGCCAACCUUACAGAUGCGUAGUCUGGGUGCUGUCCUGGCUUGGUGCUAAGGAAGUAGCAGGUUACAUUCUUAGACCGUUCCAUCUGCACUCAUCAGUCUUCUCAAGUCUACACUAUUUACACACAGCCACCUGCUGAAUGCUAACGGAUCUUUGCUUUUGGCAGGAAUAAGAACUGAAGGUACCCAUGAUGUGCGGAGGGUAGACACUAGAGUGAUGGUGCCUUGCUUGGUAAGCAUGUGAACCAAAGGAGGGGCUGUGAAUUUCACCUGCAAUGGGCAAAGCGUUUUACGUGUGAAACAGCGAUCAAAUCACACUGCUGGAGCCACCCAAUUUCUCGGUCUGCUGAGCAAACAUUUCUGUGCUAAAAUUCUCCAUUAGCACCGGCAGAGGCUUUUUUUAACAAACGUAAAGGUGCUUCACAUGCAUGUAGCCCCGGGAAGCUGGAAGAGGGAACGGGAUCCUCUGGAAUUGGAGUCACAGAUGGUCGUGAGCCACCAUGUGAGUGCUGGGGACCAAAUGAGGAUCCUAUGAGAGCAACGGUGCUCUUAACCACAGAGCCAUUCAUUACGAGCCCCCAGCCCGUCAGCAAGCACAUUAAUACAGUGGGGAACUGGUACUACCGUUUUCUUUUUUUUUUUCGGAGCUGGGGA